CCUACGGGAGACUGCAGUGAGGAAUAUUGGUCAAUGGGCGCGAGCCUGAACCAGCCAAGUCGCGUGAGGGAAGACGGUCCUAUGGAUUGUAAACCUCUUUUGUCGGGGAGCAAAAGACGCCACGCGUGGCGUUCCGAGAGUACCCGACGAACAAGCAUCGGCUAACUCCGUGCCAGCAGCCGCGGUAAUACGGAGGAUGCGAGCGUUAUCCGGAUUUAUUGGGUUUAAAGGGUGCGCAGGCGGAAGAUCAAGUCAGCGGUAAAAUUGAGAGGCUCAACCUCUUCGAGCCGUUGAAACUGGUUUUCUGGAGUGAGCGAGAAGUAUGCGGAAUGCGUGGUGUAGCGGUGAAAUGCAUAGAUAUCACGCAGAACUCCGAUUGCGAAGGCAGCAUACCGGCGCUCAACUGACGCUCAUCCACGAAAGUGUGGGUAUCGAACAGGAUUAGAUACCCCUGUAGUC
rnacentral:rRNA from 1 species